GAGUUUGAUUAUGGCUCAGAUUGAACGCUGGCGGCAGGCUUAACACAUGCAAGUCGAACGGUAGCAGGAGAAAGCUUGCUUUCUUGCUGACGAGUGGCGGACGGGUGAGUAAUGCUUGGGAAUCUGGCUUAUGGAGGGGGAUAACUACGGGAAACUGUAGCUAAUACCGCGUAAUAUCUACGGAUUAAAGAAUGGGACUUGUAGCUAUUCGCCAUAAGAUGAGCCCAAGUGGGAUUAGGUAGUUGGUGGGGUAAAGGCCUACCAAGCCGACGAUCUCUAGCUGGUCUGAGAGGAUGACCAGCCACACUGGAACUGAGACACGGUCCAGACUCCUACGGGAGGCAGCAGUGGGGAAUAUUGCGCAAUGGGGGCAACCCUGACGCAGCCAUGCCGCGUGAAUGAAGAAGGCCUUCGGGUUGUAAAGUUCUUUCGGUGGUGAGGAAGGCUUAAGUGCUAAUAGUACUUAAGAUGAC
rnacentral:rRNA from 1 species